GGACAACCUGCCCUAAGGUCUGGCAUAACUCCGGGAAACUGGGGAUAAUUCCAGAUAAACCAUAGAUACUGGAAUGUGCUGUGGUUAAAAGCUCCGGUGCCUUAGGAUGGAUCUGCGGCCUAUCAGGUAGUAGUGGGUGUAAUGUACCUACUAGCCUACGACGGGUACGGGUUGUGAGAGCAAGAGCCCGGAGAUGGAUUCUGAGACAUGAAUCCAGGCCCUACGGGGCGCAGCAGGCGCGAAAACUUUACAAUGCGGGAAACCGCGAUAAGGGGACACUGAGUGCCAGCACCAUGUGCUGGCUGUCCGCAUGUAUAAAUCACAUGUGUCAGCAAGGGCCGGGCAAGACCGGUGCCAGCCGCCGCGGUAACACCGGCGGCCCGAGUGGUGGCCAUUAUUAUUGGGUCUAAAGGGUCCGUAGCCGGUUUGAUCAGUCUUCCGGGAAAUCUGACAGCUCAACUGUUAGGCUUCUGGGGGAUACUGUCAGACUUGGAACCGGGAGAGGUAAGAGGUACUACAGGGGUAGGAGUGAAAUCUUGUAAUCCUUGUGGGACCACCAGUGGCGAAGGCGUCUUACCAGAACGGGUUCGACGGUGAGGGACGAAAGCUGGGGGCACGAACCGGAUUAGAUACCCGGGUAGUCCCAGCCGUAAACGAUGCUCGCUAGGUGUCUGGGAUGGUGCGACCGUUUCAGGUGCCGCAGGGAAGCCGUGAAGCGAGCCACCUGGGAAGUACGGCCGCAAGGCUGAAACUUAA
rnacentral:rRNA from 1 species